rnacentral:tRNA from 1 species
GCGCCCAUAGCUCAGCUGGAUAGAGUGUUGGACUACGAAUCCAAAGGUCGCAGGUUCGAAUCCUGCUGGGCGCGCCA